AUUGAACGCUGGCGGCAGGCCUAACACAUGCAAGUCGAACGCGUGGCGGACGGGUGAGUAAUGUCUGGGAAACUGCCUGAUGGAGGGGGAUAACUCCUGUAAACGGUAGCUAAUACCGCAUACCAUCGGAUGUGCCCAGAUGGGAUUAGCUAGUUGGUGGGGGAAAGGCUAACCAAGGCGACGAUCCCUAGCUGGUCUGAGAGGAUGACCAGCAACACUGUGACUGAGACACGGUCCAGACGCCUACGGGAGGCAGCAGUGGGGAAUAUUGCACAAUGGGCGAAAGCCUGAUGCAGCCAUGCCGCGUGUAUGAAGAAGGCCUUCGGGUUGUAAAGUACUUGCGGCUGGGAUGCGUUACCCGCAGAAGAAGCACCGGCUAACUCCGUGCCAGCAGCCGCGGUAAUAC
rnacentral:rRNA from 1 species